GAUUACUGCAGGUGACUCACAUUGCAGUAAUCAGCUCACCUGCCCUCAAUAUCACCUGCUCACUAUUUAAACUCUGCUUAGUGACUCUUUGUCAGUUUGACCAUAAACUACUAGACACCUGCUUCCCUCCAGGCUCAGAUUCCCACAAAGACUCACAUGGCUUCACACGCUCUGCUCCCUCAUGGACUCUGCUUCCCCACUUCUGGACUCCUUUUUCCUCGAUCCUUUUUCUCUGUCUUGUGAGUACCCCUCCUUAGUUUACUUUUUUUAAUCCAGUUUAGUAUUGGUUGACUUCUGUUUCUGUAUUCGUAGUGUUUGCUGGGUUUUGAAUAGUUUGGUUUUGUUUCCCCAGUUCAGCUCUCCAUUUAUGUACUAGUUUAGUUAUCUUUUUAAAUGAAACUCUUUCCAUUAUUCACCUGUCUGCAAGUCUCUCUGUGUCUGUGCCUGCGUUGUCCAACUCAGGGCCCAAACCGUCCCUUAAAUAAUCCUGGGUCCGUUUCACGAAGCAGGUUCAACAAACUCUGUGUAACCCUGAACUCUGAGUUGAUCUACUCUGAGAUAGAAAACUCUGAGUUUUCGGUUUCACAACGGCUGAUUUGAGUUGGUUUAAUCAACUCGGAGUAGUUUCACUCAGAGUGCACCGCAACUAUAAAAAGACAGCAUCAAUGGAACCCCGAUUCGACGAGUCACCAUGGUGACGGGGAAGUGGAGAGGUACGUUUUUUUUUUUUUUUACACCACUUGAAUUGGACAUCUUAAUGUGUUCAUAUGGCGACUUCGAACACGUUUUUAGAAAGAAGUGCAGCACUUGCAGCUGCAAAAGAGAGGGAGACGGCGUGGGAGAACAUUGCUGCCCGAGUCAAUGCGUAAGUUUAAGUCACAAUAAUAUUACAGGAAAACUGUUUAAUAGCAGCCUAUUCUGUUAUUUCAUUUAGGUGCAAUCCUGCAGGGGAGAAGCGCAUGUGGCAGCAGCUGAAGAUGAAAUAUAAAAACAUUGUUCAAACGGCCAACAGAAAGAAAGCAGAUGCCUGUAAAAAGGGAGGUGGCCCAGCAGCACCACCUGUAACGGAGGCAGAGGAGCUGGUCCUAAGCCAGAAUUUGGGAAGGCAAGAGGAAAAGGUGCAACAGAAAAUUGGACCUUCCAAGCGUACUUGUGGAGAUGCAGGCUGAGAAGGAGCAGAACCGGCAUCCAGCAUGAUGAGAACAUCUGGUUGCUCCUCAGCGAGGCAAGAGAGAAUGAAGCGGCCUUGCAGUGGGAGGAGACGGUCCAGAAUGCUGCCUUCAACCAGUCAUUCCUGGGUGCACUGGGGCAGCUGGUGCAGGCAGUGCUGGGUGUACUGGGGCAGCUGGUGCAGGCAGUGCUGGGUGUACUGGGGCAGCUGGUGCAGGCAGUGGGCAGCCAGAGUCCACCUCCCAGAGACUUGAGAUUUAGUUGUAUAUAGUUUUACUUUUAGCCCUCCACUGUAGCAGAAGCCCACCACAGUUUGUACUUUGCACAUUGUAAAUAGUUCUGA